AUUGAACGCUGCGGCAGGCUUAAUACAUGCAAGUAGAGCGAGUGGCUGACGGAUGAGUAAUGCUUAGGUAUCUGCCCAUUAGUGGAGGACAAAAUCUCGAAAGGGAAGCAUAGCCCGCAUCCCAAUAGCUGAGCUUAAGUCGGAGCAGCUAGUUGGUGGGGUAAAGGCCUACCAAGGCGACGAUCAAUAGCGGGUGUGAGAGGAUGAUCCGCCACACUGGGACUGAGACACGGCCCAGACUCCUACGGGAGGCAGCAGUGGGGAAUAUUGGACAAUGGGGGGAACCCUGAUCCAGCAAUGCCGCGUGAGUGAAGAAGGCUUUAUGGUUGUAAAGCACUUUAAGCGAGGAGGCGUUACUCGCAGAAUAAGGGCCGGCUAACUCUGUGCCAGCAGCCGCGGUAAUAC
rnacentral:rRNA from 1 species